GACGAACGCUGGCGGCGUGCCUAAUACAUGCAAGUCGAACGAACCGCGACUAGGUGCUUGCACUUGGUCAAGGUGAGUGGCGAACGGGUGAGUAACACGUGGGUAACCUACCUCAUAGUGGGGGAUAACAGUCGGAAACGACUGCUAAUACCGCAUAGGACAUAGGAUCACAUGAUCCAGUGAGGAAAGGUGGCGCAAGCUAUCGCUAAGAGAUGGACCCGCGGUGCAUUAGCUAGUUGGUAGGGUAAAGGCCUAUCAAGGCGAUGAUGCAUAGCCGACCUGAGAGGGUGAUCGGCCACAUUGGGACUGAGACACGGCCCAAACUCCUACGGGAGGCAGCAGUGGGGAAUCUUCCGCAAUGGACGCAAGUCUGACGGAGCAACGCCGCGUGAGUGAAGAAGGUCUUCGGAUCGUAAAGCUCUGUUGUUAGAGAAGAACAGCGCAUAGAGUAACUGUUAUGCGUGUGACGGUAUCUAACCAGAAAGCCACGGCUAACUACGUG
rnacentral:rRNA from 1 species